rnacentral:rRNA from 1 species
UACGAAGGGGGCUAGCGUUGUUCGGAAUUACUGGGCGUAAAGCGCGCGCAGGCGGCUAUCCAAGUCAGUGGUGAAAGCCCGGAGCUCAACUCCGGAACUGCCAUUGAAACUGUUUAGCUUGAGGACGAGAGAGGUGAGUGGAAUUCCCAGUGUAGAGGUGAAAUUCGUAGAUAUUCGGAGGAACACCAGUGGCGAAGGCGACUAACUGGACAGGCAUUGACGCUGAGGCACGAAAGCGUGGGGAUCAAACAGG